rnacentral:lncRNA from 1 species
AUUUGGAACCAAACCAACAUUUGUUAUUGAAGUAGAAGUCCUGGGAGUGCAUUCUGACGAAGAACAGCAAAGACACACUAAAAGAGGACAAACGAGCUGUCAGGCCUGCUGGCCAUGUGACCUCUAAGUGCUUUGUCCAUUAUUACAUUGGAUGUUACAGAAGAUGUGCUUGACUGAGCAUUGAUUAACCUCUGCAUUGGAAGGGAGAUUCAUGAGGCUGUUACGAACCGGCUCUGAGUUCGCAACAAAAGGGAGACAACGUGGAGACAAGGGGUAUCAAAAUAUCUAUUUAUUAACUAAAGUAACUAAAUAAUUAACAAUGGCGUGUGUGUAAUCAGUAAUCAGUAGUGUAAGUGAGUGUUUUGCAUACCUGAAUGUAAUAAUGCAGGGUGUUGAAAGGUGCCAAAGCAAAUAACCAAAAAAGCCACAAAACUACACAACCAAAAUCAACAAAGUGUCUGCAUGGAGAGAGUCCUCCCAAUAACUGUGGAAGAGGUCUCUUUAUCCUGGGACACAGCUGGGCCCAGGUGCUUCCCAUUUAGCUGACGACCCUUCCAACUCCGCCCACCGGCAUCCUAACAAGGAAACAAGAACAGAGAGAAUACGGCAGACAGAGUGG